AAACAGUUCGCCAGCUAAAGUUGUCCAAUCCAAAGCCUCUGGUAGGUGUUCUGUGGCAAGGCGAACUCGGCGAUCGCAGUCCGCUUCUGUCAGAGGAGGCGUUGUUCUGAAAUGGUAGUAUAUAGGUGUUCUGUGGGUGUGUAAGUGGUACAGGUGUGCCCCGAGUCCGCUCUCUGGUGCGCUUUCAGUUUCUGGGCUCCAGAAACUUUGACCAUCUGGUGUUCCUAAUCAUGCGCUGAUACCGCACAGUACACGGACCUCUACCAGCUCGCCUCCAUCGAAAUACGACCAUCACGGCCGGGAUUGUACUCGCGACCUUCAGAUUUGCUUAGUGCCACACUGCAGCCACUGCUGGCCUGCUACUGUCUCAACAGAGAUGCCGUGGGAUGCCAACAGAAGCCACCAUGACGUGAAGCCCGACGCCAUUCCGAUACCUCACGGGGAACGUCACAAUAUCAUCGAAACAAAACGCACUUCUGGGGCAGCUGCUGAUCACAAACGGGGCAGCUCAGAAAAGAACAAACAUGACCCUGGACCCACACCUCCAACUAACGAUAUGAGCGCCAUGAAGGAGCCCCAGCAAGGGCACUCGGGCCAAAACAGGCCUGCAUUGCCACACUCGGACUCCCAGAACUCAACAGACGAAGAGAAUAUGAUGAAAUGGAGAAAGCAUCUAUGCGCAAAUAAGAAAUGUAAUAUCCUUUAAUUCAAUGAUGUUUCUGUGGCCCGGUGGCAGAAACGGGUGAUUGAUGUGUAACGGCACUUCCGUGUGAGUUGAAAUAUGCUGGCGUUUUUCACACGUUGCGAUGCUACAGCCAUACCGGUAGAUGCAGCCAAUGACCGAGCUGGCCCAAGGCCAUUUUGCAAGCUCACAAUACCGUGAACAAAAGACACAUAGAGACCCUCGCCAUGUGAUUGCUGCGCUUUACCUCGACAGGCAGUGGUGGUCACUGUGGCUCUUUUGACCUGCAUUUUAGAACAGUGACCAUGUGAGGCCCCCCUCACUAUCUCCCAUUCACCCAUCAACAAGACUACUCAAAAAACUGCUGGCACUCUGUCAAAUUCCAGUGCGCGAUUUAGGGAUACAUCGACAUGGCUCCACAAAUGUGACAACAGCAUGCGAUAUGGAUCACGCCUGAAUAGUUGUGCGCUAACUCCAGGGAAGAACCCAGUGCUGUGAAGGAUAAUGUAGUUUACUCGAACUACAUCAACGUGAAAACCUGUUGACGAAGUAUGCAUACAUCAAAAGGAGAAAUUGUGCAAUGCAUCGUGUUUUAUGCUUUAAGCACAUGUUUGAAAUGUGGAUGAGAGCUUUAAUGCAUUAUGAAAGGCUCUAGCAAGUUCACCAGUGCCUUGUGGCCAGAAGGCCUUCUUAUGUUAGGUUAGGUUCUGCUGCUGUGUUACUUAGGAAUUCGUGGAGCAACAUUAAAUUUGAUUGGUUUUUGCGGCUGACAAAUUGCACGUGAAUGAUGCAACGUCAGUUGCAUCGCUGCUAGAAAGUAACACAGCUGUUUCUUAACCAAUAUUAUCGUUUUAUAUAUAGUAUAAAUGUAAAGCAAAAUGAAGCAACUUAAAAAGCUCAGGAAAAAUAAAUGUUUUUGUCAAGUACAUGG
rnacentral:lncRNA from 1 species